UAUAGAAAUGACAAAUAUUUAAAAUCGCAAGAGAACAUACAACAUUCUUGAAAUGAUACCCAAAAUUACCACUAAAAACAUACGAAAUUGUAGUCUUUAGAACAUUCAUACAAUGAGAUACGCUCACUACUGUACAACAUAACUAGCACUACAUUAUAACUAGCUACUCUCUCCUUUGUGGGCUUUAGGCUUCUUCAAAUUUCUUCAUCCUAGAGCUCCUCUAAAAGAGGGGUAAUGCAACACUUUUAGAGCUUGAUGAAGGCAUGAAAGUCAUGCUGCAACAACCACAUAGAAGCAUAAUUAUAAGCACAAAUACAACAAUCAUCUCAGUUCAAGCAAAUGAUCUAGUAGCAGAGCAUGAAAAAGGAAGCAACACAUGGCAGGAGUGUCUAUAAGGUCUCAGUUGAUGACUUCAAAUAGAAAUAAUGUAUACAAGUAUAAUACAAAAAUACGAGAAACUAUCACUCCGCGGAAAUGAAACCACAGAAUUAUAUAGCUAACUCAAUGACAGACUGCAAUGUUUUACUCAAUGUAUGAAACUCAAAGAACUUUUCUUCUUAGUCACGAGCAUCGUGCAUUUCAACUUCAGUAACUGUAGAAAUUAAAUAGCAUGAAGACAAUAUUCUAUAGAUCAAAACAGAUGAAGCUGGCAACAAAAUAUAAACACAAGUUAGUUGUAUCUAGUCAUAUUUUGAGUGUCCAAGUAGGUACUGGUGGAAGGGUGUACCUACACGUAGAACGUCAGGAGGAAGAUCUGGAGCGCCCACGUGAACUGCAGUUGCAGUAACCAUGCAGGCAAGCACCACCCAAUACAUGGGCACGCCAAAAAGAAGACCAUGUCCUCAACAACACUCAUGUGCACCUGCAUCAAUAACAGGCACCAAAACUGAUAAAUGAGACCAAAAUUUACAUCAAACACAAGUCUAAAAUAUAAGUUUACAUAGCUAAAGAAACCAUGUAAUUGGUAAACAUACAUUUGCAAAAAUGGAUCUAGGUUCUCACCAGUAUUGCUAGUCAGCUCACACUUCAAACAUCACAUUCGUUCAUCUUAUAUAACAGAAAAUGGAACUAGGAUCUCUCGAGGAUUAUAACAGUGUAAACACCAUAACAGUAACAAAC
rnacentral:lncRNA from 1 species